AGUGAACGCUGGCGGCAGGCCUAACACAUGCAAGUCGAACGGCAGCGCAGCAACGGCUUGCUAUGAGGGGCGGACGGUGGAGGAAGACAGCGGAACACGCCCGAACCUACGGGUUAACGGGGCGUAACGUAUGCAAAUUUACCCUAAGACCUCCUGCUACAAGCGGGGGAACGCAAGGGAUUUUCGGGCCUUGCCGGCUUGAAGGAGCUGAUGUCGGAUUAGGUAGUUGGCGGGGUAAAGGCUCACAAAGGCAACGAUCUGUAGCUGGUCUGAGAGGAUGAUCAGCCACACUGGAACUGAGACACGGCCCAGACUCCUACGGGAGGCAGCAGUGGGGAAUAUUGGACAAUGGGCGCAAGCCUGAUCCAGCCAUGCCGCGUGCGUGAAGAAGGCCUUCGGGUUGUAAAGUGCUUUUGUACGGAAAGAAAAGCAGUCGGUUAAUACCGGAGUGUCCUGACGGUACCGAAAGAAUAAGCACCGGCUAACUUCGUG
rnacentral:rRNA from 1 species